GGGACCUAGUGGUUAGAGCGUCCGCAUCGAAUGCGGGAGGUCGUGGGUUCGAUCCCCGGUCGAGUCA